GGUGAUCUGCUCCAUCAGGACAGCGUUCAGACACACGGGACGGGUGUGUGUGUGUGUGUGUGUGUGUCUCACGGUGAUCUGCUCCAUCAGGACAGUGUUCAGACACACGGGACAGGUGUGUGUGUGUGUGUGUGUGUGUGUGUGUGUCUCACGGUGAUCUGCUCCAUCAGGACAGUGUUCAGACACACGGGACAGGUGUGUGUGUGUGUGUGUGUGUGUGUGUGUGUGUCUCACGGUGAUCUGCUCCAUCAGGACAGCGUUCAGACACACGGGACAGGUGUGUGUGUGUGUGUGUGUGUGUGUGUCUCACGGUGAUCUGCUCCAUCAGGACAGCGUUGGUAGCCUCGGUCUCGUGCAGUAGACUGUUCAGGUGCUCCACGCUGCGGGCGGCUGUGCUCAGCUUCUGCGUCAGCUCCUCUUUA